UGGCAGUAGCCACUCAAUGUUAGUGGUGGCUGUUUAACAGUCUGAUGGCCUUGAGAUAGAAGCUGUUUUUCAGUCUCUCGGUCCCAGCUUUGAUGCACCUGUACUGUAUUAAUGAACUUUGUCAUUUUGUAUCAUUUAACACUCAAAUAUUUUAAUUAUUCUCCCAGAUUUAUUUGUGUAAUUCUACAUUUCUAAUUAGCAACACAUCUACUCCUUGUUAAAAAAUGUCAGUGUAGAGUCCUGAACUAUAAUAAUAAAUAAGCCAUAUCACUCAGCAUUUUGUGGCAGGGCAGGCACUUUGUUGAUUCUUGAUGUUCAGUUGUGGAAAGCGUUCCACAGGUAUGCUGGCCCACAGUUGUGCCAAGUUGACUGGAUGUCCUUUGGGCGGUGGACCAUUCUUGAUACAAAUGGGGAAACUGAGCAUGGAAAAACCCAGUUGCGUUGCAGUUCUUGACACAUCGCCACAGUGUUCCCUCCAAUAUGUAUUUGGAAGGCUUUUUUAGAGCAUUUUUUUGUUGUUGUUUUAAAUGUUUAGAAAACCCCAAUAUUACACCAAAAAAAGUUGCAAGCUGUCUAGUACAUCUAGUCUCUAGACUAGGCUUGUGUGGGCCUGGCGUUUUGGACAAUGAUGUAUAUGAAACCUGGAUUGCUAUUUACAAUGUAUUGGCAGUUGAGGCUUUCAAGCCACCGGUCGGCCAUACUGGCACUCCCCAGUAGGAGCAGUCCUCUUUAGGAAUGAAUGGAAUUCUACAGUAUUUCCAAUAAAUGUUUAGAUGACAAAGUAACAUGGAUUUAAGUAUUUUUUGUUUUUGUUGUGGUGGGGACAGUAACAAUAGUAAUCUCAAAAAAGUAUAUUUAAUUUUUUGUUUAGCUCACAUUUUUUCCAAGUAUGCACUAAGACAUCUGUAGUAGAAUAAAUGUGCCAGGGCCUCCUGGGUGGCGCAGUGCUAGCUGUGCCACCAGAGACUCUGGGUUCGCGCCCAGGCUCUGUCGCAGCCGGCCGCGCCCAGGAGGUCCAUAGGCCGACGCACAAUUAGCCUAGCGUCGUCUGGGUUAGGGAGGGUUUGUCUGGUAGGGAUAUCCCUGUCUCAUCGCGCACUAGCGACUCCUGUGGCGGGCCGGGCGCAGUGCACACUAACCAGGUCUCCAGGUGCAUGGUGUUUCCUCCGACACAUUGGUGCUGACUUCCGGGUUGGAUGCGCGCUGUGUUAAGAAGCAGUGCAGCUUGGUUGGGUUGUGUUUCGGAGGACGCAUGGCUUUCGACUUUCGUCUCUCCCGAGCCCAUACGGGGGUUGUAGCGAUGAGACAAGAUAGUAACUACUAACAAUUGGAUACCACGAAAUUGGGGUUAAAAAAAUAAAAUAAAAAAUGAUAAAUGUGCCAAAAACGAAUGUAGAAAAUAAUUAGUUAAUUUCUAUACCUUUCAAAAUAUUUUUUUUUACGGGGGAGUGCCAACUUGUCAGCACGGUGGCUUCAACAAGCGCAGUUUGUUGAUGUUCCCACUUGUCUGAAUUUUCCUUGUUUUACUAUCCUUGUGAGGACUUCUGGUGCCCACAAGGAUAGUAAAACCAAACACACACACAGACUCAUGUAAACUAUUUUGUUUCCACUCUCAGAUAGUGGAUUGGUUCGUACAGAUCUCUCUGACUGAAGCACAUCCACAACAGGAAGAUUUUGCACAGCGACAUGAAAGCACAGAAUAUAUUCCUUGCCAAGAGUGGGAUGAAUGCCAAGCUGGGAGACAUUGGCAUCGCAAGAAUGUUAAACUAGCCUACAAAGUGAAAGCCAAAAUGUCAGUGUUUUAGUGAAGUGAACUAUGGAGGGUCUACCUGGCACACCCACAUGUAUGCUCUAGUUGGCUGGCCCUCGCUACAUAUUCGUCGCCAGAUCCACUGGCUCCAGGUCAUCUAUAAGUCUAUGCUAGGUAAAGCUCCGCCUUAUCUCAGCUCACUGGUCACGAUAACAACACCCACCCGUAGCACGCGCUCCAGCAGGUAUAUGUCACUGGUCAUCCCCUAAGCCAACACCUACUUUGGCCGCCUUUCCUUCCAGUUCUCUGCUGCCAAUGAUUGGAACGAAUUGCAAAAAUCACUGAAGCUGGAGACCUAUUUCCUUCACCAACUUUAAACAUCAGCUAUCUGAGCAACUAACUGAUCGCUGCAGCUGUACAUAGCCCACCUGUAAAUAGCCCACCCAAUCUACCUACCUCAUCCCCAUAUUGUUUUUAUUUCCUUUUCUGCUCUUUUGCACACCAGUAUUUCUACUUGCACAUCAUCAUCUGCUCAUCUAUCACUCCAGUGUUAAUUUGCUAAAUUGUAAUUACUCCGCUACUAUGGCCUAUUUAUUGCCUUACCUCCUCACGCCAUUUGCACACACUGUAUAUAGACUUUUUCCCCCCUAUUGUGUUAUUGACUGUAUGUUUGUUUAUUCCAUGUGUAACACUGUGUUCUUGCUUGUGUCGCAUUGCUUUGCUUUAUCUUGG
ensembl:lncRNA